rnacentral:lncRNA from 1 species
UUCACUUUUCGUAGGCUCUAGUAGAGGGGCGUACUAACAUCGCCAACGCAAUACAUUAUAGCCAUAAGUAUGUGAAAUAUGUUUAUGGCGAAUAUUUCGUCCUGAUGUAUUCAAAGUAUCAAAUUAUUGAUGAAAGCUGACAACAUUAUAAUCAUUUUUAAUCAAAAAAAUUUCAACACAAUCGUUUAUGAACAAAGUAUGUAGCUCGGUAUGUAGUGGUACAGACCGUACAGUAGAAUAAAACCAUCGCACAAACAAAAGAAUUAACGUCGUAUUUAUGUAAGAGGCGUAUUAUAGCGAAUAUCAAAGGAAAAUGGUAUAAAUUGUGUCACGGGAACAGUAUAUUUGAGAGCUGAAUUCUACAAACUCACCACCGGUCGCCGGCAGAAAUUCUUCAAAAUCUUCGCCUUCGCAGCUCAGAAUCGCAAGAGGUAAAAUAUCACUCACGAGAGAGUGAGCGGUGAGGGAAAUCAAAUCCGAUUUUUUAUUACAACCAAAAACACAAUGUGUGUCUUUUGCAACGUAAAGAUUCAACACAAAGGAGACAAUUGCUAUGUUGAUUUGAAGAAGUGGUGUAACAGUCGUUGCUCCCUCCCAAAGAUCCUUACCCGCUGUGAAUUAUCGGCAACACUAGUGAAGGUUAGCACCACAGUCGUUCAAGCUCUGUAAGGCGAUAUCCUGGUUGACAUGACGGAGUCAUUAGUCGGAUUAUUUAUUAAAUGCUAUGAGUUCUUUCGAAACCUUUCUCUCAGGGUACUGGCUGAUAAAAGCAUGAUCUCAUACUUAACAAUAUCAAAAUAACGGGAUCUCAUGGGCUUGGCAAACGCCCUGCGCAAAUUCAAAUUAUUUAAACACCUCGGUCUUUUAAUAAAUGGUCCUCGAGACCUUUGGCUGGACGCCACCUCAACCAUGAGAAUAAGCAAGAAUCUAAACAAGAUACUAAUAAUAUUUAGCUAAUUUUAGACAAAAACAUAAUUGUUAUUAGUAUAUCGUAUUACUGCAUGUUAUCUUUGGAGUAAAUUAUUUAUGGUAUGCUUGUGUUUUGAGGGAAAUAUUUUUAAGGAGAUCAAGAAGACUUAACAUGAUGAAAUGAAACUCCCCGUAAAUCAUCGCUUUUGUUGGAAAUUGAAACACCCAAAACUUUCCGUGCGACGAUGAAGAUAAUAGCUAAAAUGAACACGCUGAACUCUCUCAGAGAUGUUAAAAAAUGCUCAACGGCCUCCCGAAAAACCUUCAAAUUUACACAACUAAUUCCCAGGUUAUAGCGAGCGCGGACAUAACCUGGACUCAACUCCAAGGCAUGACGGUAUGCAUCAACGGCUUCCUCGCUUCGUCCGCCGUUUGCUAACGUCGCUCCAAGUUUAUUCCAGACAAGAGCAUCAUGGGGGUUGGUUUGUAAUGCAGCGUGGAAACAGUCCACUGCCUUGUCGUAUUCUCCCGAGAGAUUGAAGAGAACACCAAGACCAAUCUAGGAAUGAAUGACCGGUUUUUUUAGUCCUUCUUCAAAAGGAUUUGGCAUAUCCAUCAUUGGAUUGUCCUCCUCAAACGUGUAUGUCUGAAGAAAUAUCCUUAGUCAAAAUCCCAUUGAAAUUAAUACUGAAUAAAGCACAUCCAAAGUCAUGUAAUGUAAGAUGGUGCAGAUGUAAUUGGCAAAGAAGAGUCUAGAUUUUUAUUCAAGAAGAGUCUAGGUUUCUACCUAAAGAGUCUAGGUUUCUACUUAGGAAUUGUUGAAACAACUUGUGAGGCAAACCUUUUCAGAAGUAUAUUCUGCCAACCAUGGAUGAUCAUCAAUAUUAUCUCUAGGAGAAGAAGUGCUGUAAUUAUUAUACAUUCUUGCCAUGUCAAAGAAAACAACUAAAUAUAGUUGCAGGAAUAAAGUAUAUUCUCCUGCAAGGUUUAGAUAACAUGGAAAGAGUAAUUCAAUGUACCUUGCAAGAUGAUACCACUCCUCUUCAAGUUUACCCCAAAAAUCACCAUCAGCCUGUUUCAAGUCAUAAAAAAAUGGUGAAUGUUUUAUGUGGUAGCAUAAGAAAAUGUUUGAGGAGGAUGAAUCAUUUACCUUGACUGUCUGGUCCACUGCAGACUGACCGUGAUCAUCAUGA